UGGAUGAAGUGCUUCGGUACGUAAACACCUUUUAUGAGGGACGAAAUUAUUGACGGUACCUCAUGAAUAAGGGGCUCCUAACUCUGUGCCAGCAGGAGCGGUAAUACAGAGGCCCCAAGCGUUAUCCGGAAUCACUGGGCGUAAAGGGUGUCAAGGCGGUCGUAUUAGUCUUCCGUAAAAUCCGUGGGCUCAACCUACGGCUCGCGGGAGAAACGGUACGACUUGAGGGUGGGAGAGGUGCGUGGAACUCACGGUGUAGGGGUGAAAUCCGUUGAUAUCGUGGGGAACACCAAAGGCGAAGGCAGCGCACUGGCCCAUUCCUGACGCUCACACACGAAAGCCAGGGUAGCGAACGGGAUUAGAUACCCCGGUAGUCCUGGCCCUAAACGCUGCUCGCUCGCUCUACGGAGUAUCGACCCUCUGUGGGGCUAAGCUAACGCGGUAAGCGAGCCGCCUGGGUAGUACGAGCGCAAGCUUAAAACUCAAAGGAAUAGACGGGGACUCGCACAAGCGGUGGAUCAUGUGGCUUAAUUCGUCGAUAAGCGAAGAACCUUACCAGGGCUAGAAACCAAGCUGCACGCCUCCAGAAACGGAGGAAGCCUUCGAGGGUGCUUGGCAGGUGAUGCAUGGUUGUCGUCAGUUCGUGGCUUGAGCUGUUCCCUUCAGUGGGGUAACGAACGCAACCCCCGUUGUCUGUUACUUAUGUCAGGCGA
rnacentral:rRNA from 1 species